rnacentral:rRNA from 1 species
AAACUAGGAUUAGAUACCCCACUAUAUUCGGGUUGUUUUUAGGUAGUAUUCUAUAAUUUUAAAACUUAAUUUUUCUGGCGGUCCACCACUCUCACAGAGGAGCUUGUCCUUUUUAAUUGAUAGCCCGCUAUUAUUUUUACCAAUUUUAUUUUUAUGUACGGCUGUUAAGCUUUAAGGUGAAGCUUAUUGCUAUAUUUAUUAUUUUAUCUUAGUUCAGGUCAAUGUGUAGAUUAUAGUUUGGUUUGGGGUGAGCUACUUUUAUUGGUCUAAGUCUUCUUGAAAUAUAAAAUUGGAUUUGUUAGUAAAACUUUAAUUAAAUUAAUUUUUGGGGAGACUUGGGGAAGACUUCGC